UGGCUCAGAACGAACGCUGGCGGCAGGCUUAACACAUGCAAGUCGAGCGGGGGUAGCACUACGUCAGCGGCAGACGGGUGAGUAAGGUGUGGGAACGUACCUUUUGGCUCGGAUCAACACAGGGAAACUUGUGCUAAUACCGGAUAAGCCCUUACGGGGAAAGAUUUAUCGCCGAAAGAUCGGCCCGCGUCUGAUUAGCUAGUUGGUGAGGUAAUGGCUCACCAAGGCGACGAUCAGUAGUUGGUCCGAGAGGAUGAUCAGCCACAUUGGGACUGAGACACGGACCAAACUCCUACGG
rnacentral:rRNA from 1 species